GAUGAAGAACGCAGUGAAAUGCGAUACGUAAUGUGAAUUGCAAAUUCAGUGAAUCAUCGAGUCUUUGAACGCACAUUGCACCCCCUGGUAUUCCGGGGGGCAUGCCUGUCCGAGCGUCAUUGCUGCCCUCAAGCACGGCUUGUGUGUUGGGCCCCGUCCUCCGAUCCCGGGGGACGGGCCCGAAAGGCAGCGGCGGCACCGCGUCCGGUCCUCGAGCGUAUGGGGCUUUGUCACCCGCUCUGUAGGCCCGGCCGGCGCUUGCCGAUCAACCCAAAUUUUUAUCCAGGUUGACCUCGGAUCAGGUAGGGAUACCCGCUGAACUUAAGCAUAUCAAUAAGCGGAGGA
rnacentral:misc_RNA from 1 species